UACGGAGGGUGCGAGCGUUAUUCGGAAUUAUUGGGCGUAAAGGGCGCGUAGGCGGUUUAGUAAGUCAGAUGUGAAAGCCCUGGGCUUAACCCUGGAAGAGCAUUUGAUACUACUGGACUUGAGUAUGGGAGAGGGAAGCGGAAUUCCUGGUGUAGCGGUGAAAUGCGUAGAUAUCAGGAGGAACACCGGUGGCGAAGGCGGCUUCCUGGACCAAUACUGACGCUGAGGCGCGAAGGCGUGGGGAGCAAACAGG
rnacentral:rRNA from 1 species